rnacentral:rRNA from 1 species
AUUGAACGCUGGCGGCAGGCCUAACACAUGCAAGUCGAGCGGCGCGGCGGACGGGGGCGUAAUGCCAAGGAAUCUGCAUGGUCGUGGGGGAUAACGUCCGGAAACGGGCACUAAUACCGCAUCCUCUCAGAUGAGCCUAGGUCGGAUUAGCUAGUUGGUGGGGUAAAGGCCUACCAAGGCGCAGAUCCUUAACUGGUCCGAGAGGAUGAUCAUCCACACUGGAACCGAGACACGGUCCAGACUCCUACGGGAGGCAGCAGUGGGGAAUCUUGCACAAUGGGCGAAAGCCUGAUGGAGCAACGCCGCGUGGAUGAAGAAGGUCUUCGGGUCGUAAAGUACUGUUAUGGGGGAAGCGUUACCUAAUCAAGAAGCCACGGCUAACUCCGUGCCAGCAGCCGCGGUAAUAC